AGAGUUUGAUCAUGGCUCAGGAUGAACGCUAGCUACAGGCUUAACACAUGCAAGUCGAGGGGAAACGACAUCGAAAGCUUGCUUUUUGAUGGGCGUCGACCGGCGUACGGGUGAGUAACGCGUAUCCAACCUGCCCACCACUUUGGGGAUAACCUUGCGAAAGUAAGACUAAUACCCAAUGAUAUCUCUAGAAGACAUCUGAAAGAGAUUAAAGAUUUUAUCGGUGAUGGAUGGGGAUGCGUCUGAUUAGCUUGUUGGCGGGGUAACGGCCCACCAAGGCAACGAUCAGUAGGGGUUCUGAGAGGAAGGUCCCCCACAUUGGAACUGAGACACGGUCCAAACUCCUACGGGAGGCAGGCA
rnacentral:rRNA from 1 species